GCUGGCGUGGUCUAAUGGUUAUGAUUUCUCGUUCACAUGAUGUGUUCUAAACUACCCCGAGAAGGUUCCGCGUUCGAUCCGCGGCGCUAGUA